CCAGGUAACAUUAAAUCGUACCCCAAACCGACACAGGUGGUCAGGUAGAGAAUACCAAGGCGCUUGAGAGAACUCGGGUGAAGGAACUAGGCAAAAUGGUGCCGUAACUUCGGGAGAAGGCACGCUGGCAUGUAGGUGAAGUCCCUUGCGGAUGGAGCUGAAGCCAGUCGAAGAUACCAGCUGGCUGCAACUGUUUAAUAAAAACACAGCACUGUGCAAACACGAAAGUGGACGUAUACGGUGUGACGCCUGCCCGGUGCUGGAAGGUUAAUUGAUGGGGUCAGCCGCAAGGCGAAGCUCUUGAUCGAAGCCCCAGUAAACGGCGGCCGUAACUAUAACGGUCCUAAGGUAGCGAAAUUCCUUGUCGGGUAAGUUCCGACCUGCACGAAUGGCGUAAUGAUGGCCAGGCUGUCUCCACCCGAGACUCAGUGAAAUUGAACUCGCUGUGAAGAUGCAGUGUACCCGCGGCAAGACGGAAAGACCCCGUGAACCUUUACUAUAGCUUGACACUGAACAUUGAGCCUUGAUGUGUAGGAUAGGUGGGAGGCUUUGAAGCGUGGACGCCAGUCUGCGUGGAGCCAUCCUUGAAAUACCACCCUUUAAUGUUUGAUGUUCUAACUCGGCCCCGUGAUCCGGGGUGAGGACAGUGUCUGGUGGGUAGUUUGACUGGGGCGGUCUCCUCCCAAAGAGUAACGGAGGAGCACGAAGGUUAGCUAAUCACGGUCGGACAUCGUGAGGUUAGUGCAAAGGCAUAAGCUAGCUUGACUGCGAGAGUGACGGCUCGAGCAGGUACGAAAGUAGGUCUUAGUGAUCCGGUGGUUCUGAAUGGAAGGGCCAUCGCUCAACGGAUAAAAGGUACUCCGGGGAUAACAGGCUGAUACCGCCCAAGAGUUCAUAUCGACGGCGGUGUUUGGCACCUCGAUGUCGGCUCAUCACAUCCUGGGGCUGAAGUAGGUCCCAAGGGUAUGGCUGUUCGCCAUUUAAAGUGGUACGCGAGCUGGGUUUAGAACGUCGUGAGACAGUUCGGUCCCUAUCUGCCGUGGGCGUUGGAAGAUUGAGAGGGGUUGCUCCUAGUACGAGAGGACCGGAGUGAACGCACCACUGGUGUUCGGGUUGUCAUGCCAAUGGCAUUGCCCGGUAGCUAAGUGCGGAAAAGAUAAGCGCUGAAAGCAUCUAAGCGCGAAACUUGCCUCAAGAUGAGUCUUCCCUGGGCCUUCAAGGCCCCUGAAGGAACGUUUAAGACUAAGACGUUGAUAGGCUGGGUGUGUAAGUGCAGCGAUGCAUUGAGCUAACCAGUACUAAUGAUCCGUGAGGCUUAACCUU
rnacentral:rRNA from 1 species